UCUUCGGAUCGUAAAACUCUGUUAUUAGGGAAGAACAUAUGUGUAAGUAACUGUGCACAUCUUGACGGUACCUA
rnacentral:tRNA from 1 species